GACAAUAUUGUAAUCAUACUUAAGACACUAAUUAUUCAUAAAAAAGUGUUUCAAGCCAACCCAAUCCGACCUGUUUUUGCUCGGUAUUCGGGCCUUCUACAUCUACAUGUUCGUUUUUCCAUUGUGGCUUUUUAUUGUAUUCAUGUAUGUUAGUUCAAAUCUGUAACAAUCCUCAGCCCUCGUGGAGCUAACUGAAGCUGAAACAUAAUAUGCAGUAAAUGAUAUGAAGCAGUUACGGGAUAUAUGCUUCUGAAGCGGAACCAAGUCAUCGAAUGCCCUUCCAUAUGAUACAUCUGGUCAAACCUUAUGGCACUUGAGAAACCAUAAGGGGCCCCACCUAAGCUGUUGGCAGAUUUUCUAACGCCUUGAAGUUUAUCGUCGAAGAGGUAAUAAUUCUCAUCUCAUGUUAUUACAGAGUACUAGAGUCG
rnacentral:lncRNA from 1 species